rnacentral:ncRNA from 1 species
NNNNNNNNNNNNNNNNNNNNNNNCUAGGCAAUGUGGUGUUCAGGUCAGCUCGCGGGGAUACUGCUCCACCCUAAGUCCUAUAAUGAGUAAGGUUACUCGGACGUGGCCCAUAGAGGGUGAAAGGCCCGUGGGGGUGGAGACUCAGUUUGGCCAGUAUCUUCCUGAGCAGACCUUGGAGUCGGGUUGUUUGUGAAUGCAGCCCAAAGUGGGUGGUAAACUUCAUCCAAGGCCAACUACUUACACAAGUUCGAUAGAUAACAAGUACCGUGAGGGAAAGUUGAAAAGUACUUUGAAGAGAGAGUAAACAGUGCGUGAAACCGCUCAGAGGUAAACGGGUGGAGUUGAACUGCAAGCUCCGAGGAUUCAGCUGGUGAGAUUGACAUAAGCUUCAUCAUGUGGGUUGUGUGUUCCGGUCUGCUUAGCUGCAGGCCCUCGAGUUUGGUGGGCACGCGCAUAUCGCUUAUCAAGCGUUGUGCACCCGGGCUUCUCGAACCUGAUCGCUAUUGCAUGUUCUCGAAGAUGUCUGGGAAAUACACAGUUUUAUCCAGGAAAGCGAAUGACUCGAGGCAUUGGGGGCGAAACGUCCUCAACCUAUUCUCAAACUUUAACUGAGUGAGAAGCUUGACUCGCUUAAACGGAGUCGGGCCUUGAAUGUGAGUGCCAAGUGGGCCAUUUUUGGUAAGCAGAACUGGCGCUGUGGGAUGAACCAAACGUUCGGUUAAGGUGCCUAACGCGACGCUCAUGAGAUAGCAAAAAGGUGUUGGUUGGUCCAGACAGCAGGACGGUGGCCAUGGAAGUUGGAAUCCGCUAAGGAGUGUGUAACAACUCACCUGCCGAAUCAACCAGCCCUGAAAAUGGAUGGCGCUGGAGCAGCAUUUGUUUCACAGACCGCAUCUCCGUAUUUCUCCGCACUGUUGCCGUACGUCCAAUCCUUCCGAGACCAGCUUUACUAUUACUUUCAGUUCUAGUGACAUGCAUUUUCAAUGCAUCCUCUACCUUUCAUAAGUUCAUCGGUGAUCUUGUCCGGUUUGUGUUCCUUUCACGCUUUGUUUUCGUUCUGAUCCCCACCAUUUUUAUUGUUUACCUAUGUACUUACACUGUUAUUUUACAUAUGCUCACUCUGAUCAUUUGAUCAUGCCUUGUGCAUGUCUCACGGGCUCCGUGAAAUAUACACCUAUUAUUAUUCUUCUUCUUAUUAUUAUUAAUAACUUUACCGGACCGUCACUGCAAGCUGAGUCGGUAAUGUGUGGUGUGAAGGCAAGCCACAGGACUCAGGCAUGGCAUUGUUGUGACGAGUAGGAGGGUCACCGUGGUGAGCGGAAAGCUUCGGGCGUGAGCCUGAGUGGAGCCGCCACGGGUGCAGAUCUUGGUGGUAGUAGCAAAUAUUCAAGUGAGAACCUUGAAGGCCGAGGUGGAGAAGGGUUCCAUGGGAACAGCAGUUGGCCAUGGGUCAGGCGGUCCUAAGUGAUCCGGUAAAUCGGUACAGAGACGGGGUGCCUGACAUUGUCAGGAUUGCUGCCAUUGUACUGUUGCACGGUAGCCCCCUGUAGCGAAAGGGAAUCGGGUUAAUAUUCCCGACCCUGCCCACGGAGAUUGGUGCAUUCUGGCUUCGGUCAGUUUGUACCUGGCGCGGUAACGCAAUCGACCUCGGAGACGUCGGCGAGAGUUCUGGGAAGAGUUCUCUUUUCUUUGUUAGGAGUGCACCAUCCCCUGGAAACGGGUUGUCCGGAGAUAGGGGACUAGCCUCCGUAAAGCACCACCCUUCUUGUGGUGUCCGGAACGCUCUUGUCGGCCCUUGAAAAUCCGAGCGAGGCUAUAUAAUUUUCGUGGCAGGCCGUACCCAUAUCCGCAUCAGGUCUCCAAGGUGAACAGCCUCUGGCAUUUGAACAAUGUAGGUAAGGGAAGUCGGCAAAUUGGAUCCGUAACUUCGGGAAAAGGAUUGGCUCUGAGGGCCG